rnacentral:lncRNA from 1 species
UGAUAUAGCUCUUGGUGCAGCGAAAGGGCUUGAGUACUUGCAUCAUGGGUAUGAGAGACCGGUAAUUCACCGUGAUGUUAAAUCAAGCAACAUAUUGCUAGAUGAGUACUUGAAACCUAGGAUUGCGGAUUUUGGUCUUGCCAAGAUUCUUCAGGCCAGCAAUGGCGGUCCAGAUUCCACCCAUGUCGUUGCGGGAACCUAUGGCUACAUAGCUCCAGGUAUAUGAAGAGACUAAAUUCUUAUAUCAUCAACUUUUUAUGGUCUUACAUUUUGAAUUACAUUUUAACAUUUAAAAAUCUUGUUGCAGAGUAUGGAUAUGCGUCAAAAGUGACUGAGAAAUGCGAUGUAUAUAGCUUCGGGGUCGUGUUGAUGGAGCUGGUCACAGGGAAAAAACCGAUAGAGGCAGAGUUUGGAGAGAGCAAAGACAUAGUGAAUUGGGUGAGCAACAAUCUGAAGAGCAAAGAGAGUGUGAUGGAGAUUGUGGACAAGAAGAUAGGAGAAAUGUAUAGAGAAGAUGCAAUCAAGAUACUGAGGAUUGCAAUCCUCUGCACGGCGAGACUUCCUGGACUAAGACCGACGAUGAGGAGCGUGGUUCAAAUGAUCGAGGACGCGGAACCAUGCAGAUUGAUGGGGAUUGUGAUCAGCAAAGAGAGUGAUGUGAAGAUCAAAGAAAUAAGUUGAUGAUUGAGGGACCAAAGUCACUCUUUUGGGGUCUAUUUUGGUAACUAAGAAACUUAGAGAGAGACUAAUGUGGAUCAUCUAAAUCUAUUAAGACGUAAGAGUUUAGAUGGAGAAUGUGAUUCUAGUACUACUUCUGGUUAUGAAAUCAUAGGUAUUGUAAUGAUCUCAUGUAAACUAUUUUCUUGUAAUUGUAGAAUUUUAAGGUUUUCAAAUUAGUUAAUGAAGAAGGUCAACUACUCUGUUAAAUUUAUGGUCCCAUACUAAUACUUUACUUAAGAAGUGCAUAUUCGACUGGUAAAACAAUGUCUAUAAACUUGCUAUAUCAAUCACAGUUAUAUUUAUUUUUCGUCAACAAUGCAUAUUUGAUUCAGAAAAUUCUCAAAACGAAACCAAAUGCAAAUUGGAUUCUUGGUGUGAUGACAUAGACCAAUUAUUAUUGUAAUAUCCUCUCGUGUGAUUUCUAAAAAGUUAGUCAAAUCUACGUAUGCUCAAAAACUUUUGUAGUUGCCCACUUUGACCAACAACAUAAUAAAAGAAGAAGAAGGGGAAAUUGUAUAUUUCUUCAUUCUUCACAAGCAGACAACAAUGCUUCUCUGCAUUAUUUCGAACGAUAAACUUGUAUUAUCUUUCUGAAAGUGGUCGGCAAUUCUUAAUCUCUUAUAAUGAUGACUUUAAAAGCAUAGGACUAUAGAUAUUUUACAUUUUAGUUUUUGAUUAGAUAGAGCAAAACUCAUUAGCGGAUAGUAAAUUAAUCUCGUUAACGUCAUCUAAAAGAAGCGUUCACAUGUGCAAUUUGCAAAAUUUCCGUAAUUGAUUCAGUUUGUACAAUUGCAUUAGUUACAGAGCUAAAAUCAAAAAUGGAACCAUUGUUUAUUCGGUACCUAACACAUUGCCACAAGACUAAUCUUACAACUUUAACAAAUUAGUAUCGUUUUCUUCUCUUGGUUUGCCAAUGAUUAAAAUCACACUCAUCACAAGCAUUUAAAAGUAAUCACAUUGUUUAUCACAUGAUCCAAUUAAUUGUAAAUAAACAUUAAAAAAAACAUAUGCUUUAAUGUGUGGUGGACCAAAAAACCCCACUAAAUUGCCUAGUCUUGUUAGUGGUUGAACUUGAUUAUGUAAGACUAAAAAAUGCGCUAGGAACCUGAACGAACCGGUUGAUCCUGAUGUAUUUUGGACAAUUAACCGUGGAUUGGCCAAAGAACCAGACCCGAAUCACUAACAACAACAGACCGGACUAAACGAAUCUAAUACGCAUUGUUAAAUUGGCAGAAAGCUGUGGAGGAAUUUCAAGAAGACCCUCAAAGUGGAAGUGAUCAGAGCCAGAAGAAGCACAAAAAUGAUCAGAGUAAAGAGACGAUGAACAAGGAGAGCUCACAAAAUGAAGAAGAACCAAAAGAAAAGUACAUUCAUAUGAGGGCAAGAAGAGGUCAAGCCACUAACAGUCACAGUCUUGCAGAGAGGGUAAGGACUCUUUUACCGAUAUAUCGAUUAUGAGAAUCCGCUCUUUGUUUUCUACCAAUUACUGGUUCUGAGAAGUUUGCUGCUUUGUUUGUUGUUUGAAGGUUAGGAGAGAAAAGAUCAGUGAAAGGAUGAGAUUGCUUCAAGAGCUUGUUCCCGGAUGCAACAAGGUAGAGUGGGGUUUAGCUUAGAGGUGGCUUUUAGCAGUUUAAAUUCCUUUUGUUUCCGACAAAAUUUUGCUGAAAGUCUUCAUUGUUGAUAAUUGUUCAACUAGAUCACCGGAAAAGCGUUUAUGCUUGAUGAAAUCAUCAACUAUAUUCAGUCAUUGCAACAGCAAGUUGAGGUAAGAAUAUCCCAACAAUGCAAGAUUCUUGAAACGCUCAAAUUAGUUUGGUCACAGUAUGGUCUGAAAGAGGUUUUCAUCUUGACAAACUGCUUUUAUUUUCUUCAGUUUUUGUCUAUGAAACUUGCGACGGUGAAUCCAGAUAUCAACAUUGAUAUAGACAGGAUUCUCGCCAAAGAUGUAAGAGCUCAAAAUCCCCCAUAACUUCGCAUUGAAAACAUAGUUUGCAAGUUAUGAAUAAGUACUAAACCUCUGCCAUUUUCUCAUUUUAGCUUCUGCAAUCAAGAAACAGAAACAUUCCUACACUCAAGCUGAAUAGUUCGAUAGUUUUUUUCCUAUAAGAGUUUAAUGUGUCAUUAAACUUGCCAAAAAAUCUGUAUUCAAAAGAAUUCUCCUAUACCCUUUUCCUAUAUUUUCAGUCUGAAAACAAAAAUCCCAUCUCUUCUUCGGUGAGCUUCUCAAUAGAAGAACAGUAGUCAUCGACCCUGUAAAAGAAACAUCUCAUUCAUCAAAUUAAUUGUCAUAUCAACUGUUGGCAGAAUAUAAAUUUGAUUUGAAUUUUACCCUGCCAAAGUGUUUUGUUUUUCUUGUAGAACAUCAAUGAUCUUCUCUUCAAUCGUUCCUUUUGAUAUGAACUUGACCAUCCUGCAUCACAAAAAAAUCAGAACAGUUUUUCAAGUUGUCAAAAGAAGCAAAAUCAUAACACUUCCAAAUUCUACCUCGUUGGCUUGCUCUGUCUGACGGUCUGAACUCGAGCGAGGGCCUGGCGAUCAGUUAUUGGGUUCCACCCAGGAUCCAUCAGAAAAACAUGAGAUGCCACACUCAGGUCGAGCAAAUCUCCGACUAUUUCGAAUGUCGUCAGCAAGAUCUUGCACUGACCAUCUUCUUUGAACCGUUGUAGUGCGGCUUUGCCAUCAGCAGAUUCGCUAAGUUUCACACAUCGCAGACCACUCUACACAAAACAAGUGAUUAGAUCAAAUGAAGUUUUUCACACUCUGCCUCCUACAGAGAUCAUCACAUGAACUACUCACCCUCCUGACCAAAUUCAGCAUAUACCGAUUUUCAAAGUCAAGCCACACCUUAAGCAUCCAAAAACUUUUAGCUAGCAAUAAAAUUUGAACCGACUAAGAGGAGAAGAGAAUAACACGAGACAUAAAACUAAACUAAGAUCUUUCCUAAUGUUCUUCUGCAACUAAAAACUAUUCUCCCUCCUGACCAAAUUCAGCAUAUACCGAUUUUCAAAGUCAAGCCACACCUUAAGCAUCCAAAAACUUUUAGCUAGCAAUAAAAUUUGAACUGACUAAGAGGAGAAGAGAAUAACACGAGACAUAAAACUAAACUAAGAUCUUUCCUAAUGUUCUUCUGCGACUAAAAACUAUUCACCUUCCUCAACAAUUCAUUAUCAAGCACAAAGUUAAAGUCCAGAAUACCUUGGUAAGUUGCCUCUCUAUCAGCUCCAAAAAGGAUUUGUAACGGCUGAAAAUGACAGCUUUUGCAGAUUCAUCGGUCCCAAGCAUCCACGUUAUCUCUUCUCUCUGUCAAAAUGAAUACAUAGAUGAAUUAGAUAACAUAUUGAGAAGACUAAAAGACAAAAAAGAAUUCCAGUGGAAAAUUGAUACCAAAGCUUCAAUUUUUGUACAGGAGCUUCUUAGAAUGAUGCUGUUAGUGUCUUCUGCCUUGUCAGGUUUUCUCUUUCCCUUCAAGCUGGCGUGAAGAAGAAGAUUUCUUUUGAAGGUAACUCCGCAUGUUGGGCAGCAGGAGCGUGCUGCGGAUGCUGAAAGGGCACACGGGUACACACGGAACAAACAAUCCCUACAAUAUAUAUGAGUGCACGGAAGGACCUGCAAAGAAAUUAGGUUAGUUUGGUGCCCAAAAGAAAAAAAGCUGAAAUAACAGUGGAGAGAAAACUCACAAUCGCUUCUUGUGAUGCUCUACCGCAUAUUCCACAAAAAUCUGAGAGAUCAACAAGAUCUAAGUGCAUCGAAGCCUGCAAAUAUUGUGAUUAGUUAACGAUCCAGUCCCUUUUUGAUUUGGUAAAGUACAAAUUAAUAUACCUGUUUUAGACGAUUAAUGAGACAGUGAAUACGAGCAUAAUUCUCCAUUAAACUUUCAUCCUGAAAGUAAGCUGCGAAUUCCUUAUUAAUGAAUGACUUGAGCUGUUUAUACAUUUUCUUUUCUGCUUUAGUUGGGUCAUCGCGCCUCACGGUAACCUAUUUGCAUAGCAUGGAACGCAUCACAUAAGAUCAAUUUCACAGAGUAGAUAUCAAAACAGAAUGAAAAGGGCACUUACAUAGCUAGGAGGAAAAGCAGACUUCAGGGAAAGGGACCCUUUGCUGGGUCGAAGACACAGAUCUGUUAAGCAAGUGGCAAUGCCGCCCUGGAAUUUGUAUUUUUCCAGCCAAUGUGAGUGGCGAUCAGAGGAUUUGUGCCUACAUGUUGGGCAUUUUGUCCAAAAUCUGCAAGAAAAAGGAACUCAAUAGAAAUUUAACAGUGAUCAAAAAGGGGAAGAGAAAGCAAGAGAUGUAAUACCCUAAAUCCGCACAGUUGCAUUUACAGUCUAGGCAGAAGUGGAGUGAAUACGGGUCGGUUUGCAAGAAUCGAAGCUGUGCCAAAAGAAAAGAGGAAAAAAAAAGAAAAGUAGAAUCAGGGAGGUGGGUCUUUAUGUAGUAAGAGCAAACAACAAGGAAAUAACUAACCAGAGGAUAGAGAUGGUCAGUGUAAAGUCUACUAGUAAGAAUCCAUCGAAACUUUGCCUUCAGGGCGAAAAUCGCUUGAUCUCCUCCUUCCAAGAGGUGGCCCUCGUCCAAAAAAACCCUUUCCCACUCAGUUGAGUGGAGUGGCCCGAUCGUUUUCCCCUUUUUCUUUAUGUCUCUGUGUUUGUCGCAGAAGUGCUGUGGUUUGACUGAGCUAAGAAGCUUGUGGCAGUGUGGGCAACACACUGUUUUGUACCCUCUCUUGACGGUUGCAUGACUAGUUAUGACAAAGUCGAAAGCUGUCAAGUCUUCAACUUUGCAUCCGUCAUCAAAAACAAACACUUUAGCCUUAGAAAGUUUGGCAAUAUCUUCUUCCCACUGAGACAUAGAGAGUACUGGGGCAAUGAUCAACGUUUUGGACAAUGGCUGUUCCUGGAUAGCCAGCAGUACGGACUCGAUGCUCUUGCCCAAAAAUGCUUCAUCGACAAUGAUACCCCCUCCAUAACCUAACUCUGUUUCUUUGACGACGUCGUCGAGCGAUUUCUCUUGAGAUGAAAGAGGCUCGAGAUACUUUUCCUGCAAUUUCCAAGAUAACCAAUCACCUUAACAGUUACAGACUAACAAUGGCGAAUUCAACUUGUAAUCACUACUUAUUUCAAUCUCUGGAACAGAGGUAGUAUGAAAUCACAGAAUUAGGGUCCAAAAUCAAGAAACAAGAACAGCGGAAAAAGGAAACCCUAAACAAUCGCAGACAGAUUCUGCAACUUACUUUGGAAUUUGGGUCAUGAAAUCAAAAUCGACAAAGGAAAUUAUAUGACAGCCGCAGAAACACAAAACCCUAAAAAAUCAUUCUCGCGCGACAAAGCUUCAGCGUUAACUAACAACGUCGAAUUCGAUGUAUAAACCAAAGAAAAUUGUGAUGCAACAACAUCAAACAAAGCCACCGCAUAAAAUCCAUUAUAUGAAACCCAGAACAUCAAAUCAAAGAAACCUAUUUGCAGUCAUAACUAAAAUUGACAAAAUUCUGCAACUUGAUUUCAAAUUGGGUCAUGACAUCAAGAUCAUAAAAGCCAAUUAUAUGACAGAGGCAAAAACCCUAAAUAUUCAGAGUCGCAAAAACCCAAAAUUUCUGAAGAUCUUUAAUCACGCGACAAAGCUUUAGAUGUUACCUCGCCGGUCGAUUUCUGUUCUUCUUCAACUUUCUUCUCCAUUGGGUUUUUCACGUCUUCUUCGCUUAUGGGGGUUUCUAAUGAAAACAGAAAAUUGAAAUUUUUUUAAGAGACGAGAGAGAUGACUCGAAAGAGGAGAGAGCGUGAGAGAAUCUCAGAGGGCUACUAGCUGUUUAAAUUCUGUCUCUAGUUACCGUUGUGAGCAAUUUUUUUUUUCUUUUCUUCAAAACAUCAAACAAUUUUGUUUUCAACUCAAAAUUCUUUUAACAAAACUGACUUGAUUAAUUUUUUAAUAUUUUAAUCAUACUUAAAUUAUAUUUCUGCCAGAAGCUCAUUAUUGUGAUGGGCCAACCAAGCCCGUUUUUACAUUAUUAACGGUUAACCGUUCGGUUAUCGGUUGGGUCCAUUCGGUUUCGGUUCUUUCGGUUUCAAAAUUUAGUAUCCAUUCGGAUAUUUUAAAAUUUCGGUUCGGUUUCGGUUCGGUUCCGGUUCUUUCGGUUUUAAAAUUUAGUAUCCAUUCGGUUAUUUUGCUUAGAAUAUUUUCGGUUAUUUUUUAGUAUUUUCGGAUAUUUUUGGAUAUUUUUCGGUUAUUUUCGAGUAUUUUUACUAUUUUUAUAUAUUUUUCAAGUAUUUUUGAUUAUUUGGUUUAUAAAUAAUUAAUUAUUUUGAAAAUAUAAUUUUAUUUCGGGUAUUUCGGUUACCCGAAAUAUUUCGGUUCGGUACCGAUUCGGCUACGGUUAUUUCGGUUAUAGAAUUUAGUAUCCAUUCGGUUAUUUUCAAAUUUUCGGUUCGGUUUGGUUUUUUUUGCUUCGGUUUCGGUUCGGUACAUUCGGUUCGGUUUAUUUGCCCAGGCCUAAUUUAACCUUUUUAUUAUCAUCAGUGGUUAAAAUAUCCUCUUAUGAAAAUUUUAAAAACGUUGCAAGUUUCAUCUUCAAACCUAUCUAUUAUCAUUACUAACUAGGUGAUUGCCCGCGCGCAUGCGCGGGAAGAAUGCUGCAUCCUCUUAUGAAACUUGCAACGAUGAAUGGACUGUGUACUUUUCUUAUCAUUUAUCUCCGUAUUUGAUGUGGAAUUUUCAUAAACAUAAAACAUACUUUCGUAAUAUUGACAAGGGAUACUCUAACAUGAUAUUUUUGGGCUAGACCGAGCUUUGGCCCUAAUUGACAUGGUUAGUGAUGAGUUUGGUAACCUCUAGUCUGACUUUAUUUUUUUAUGGAAAUAAACUUUUUUUUUUUUUAACUUCAAACACUCCAAUAUAUUAAGUUAAAAGCAUACAAACUCUCCUCUAAAGAGUGCCGAACAAAGACCAAUAAACUUACACAGGAGGAUAGAUAACCACAGUAUGUUGCUUCGAGAGCAAUACAACAUCCAGGUCUUAAUACAACAAGACAAGAUAGCUAAGAUUGUAGAACUAACAACAAAAGAAAUAGAAAUACUAGUGAUAAAGAGUUCCACCACAAAGGAAGGAUUCUUGUAGAUGCACCUACCAUUAAAUUAUUCAUCCAGUUAAAAGGCAUGUAAAAAUGUAGGUCAACAACAUAUCAAAUAGUAUACUUUACGAGAGUCACACCUUUUUAAAUUGGUUUUCCCAAUAAUGGUUUCAAUAUGAUGCACGUUCAUUGUUGAUCAACAUGUUUAGAGGAGAAGACAUUGAAUCAAAACCAGGGAAUCCAACCUGAAAAAAUAAGCAACAGAAGCAACUCUGACUGUCAAUCAAAUAUUCUAGACUUAGUAAGUUCAACCUCUGUGAUGGGUAAGAAGACAAAAAAUGGAUGGUCACAGCAUCUAAACAUCGUGAUAAACAAUAUGAGCCCGUAGAUGGUCACUCAAGUCAAUAGAGAAACAGUCUGUUGUGUCCUACGAUUUUUUCAUUAGAACCCUUACCUGGAUUGUAUUGCAAGAUGGAGUCAUUGCAGAGUGAUGAACACGUUGCUAACUGAUGAGCAGGUAAGUCAAGCUACAAAACAAAUGAACAACUAGUCUAAAGAAUGCUGUGUGUUGGCAUGUGCGUGUAGAUUGAAGCUUGCUAUUGAUUCUUUGGUCUUUUCUCUUUCACAAUAAUAACUCACCGAGAUUUGUAAUGAAAGGAACUCCCUGAAAUCUAAAAAUACAAAAGAAAUACGAGGAAUGCAAAACACAUGAAAAUGCAUAAAAAUAAAAGAAGAACGAAACGCCAAGAUUUCAUGUAAACCGCUAACCUUCAGGUUCUAUUGUGUCAUCAAGUAUCCAGAUCAAUUUUAUCAAGCAAUCCUGAGAUGAAAUUUUCAGUUCAACCUGUCCGUGUGUAGUUGCAUGGUAACAAUUUGUGAGAAUGUCGGUAAACAAUUACCAGUCACCCUCAAAAUUGUCGUGUAUGAAUUAGUUGCUUACUCACAUAGUCCAGAGGAGAAGAAAUAAUUACCUGCAGCCCAUUUGCUGUCAAAGACAGUACCUUCUGGUGCAUAAGUUGUCUCACGAACACUGAAUUCAUUACUAACAGGACCAUGCUCUGCAGAUUGGACUACACACAUCUGACAUACAAGCAGAAGAGUAAGACUGUUCAAAUAUUACCAUUUUUAACAACACAAGGAGAAAAUUUAUACGCAAGAAUGUAACUACUGCAGUUAGUUAUUCACAAGAUCUACUAGCAAAGUUGUUAAUCCUUCUUACCUGAAGCUCUAUUUGAUUAGUCCCCAGACGUGCAAAACUGCAAACAUAUAUAUGGUCAUGUGUAAUAUGAAGGAAGAUUUGACCUUCCAAGAUAUUACUAGAAACAAUUCAAAUAGUAAAUUGCAAGGGGCAGAUACCCAUCAGAGCAAACAUGCCCGAAGCAGUGGAGGUUAAAAUGCUAACACCGACAUCAUAUUGGUAGUCAAUGUUCCAGUCUUGUCACUGCAAAUUACAGAAGUGCAACCAAGCGUCUCGACUGAUGGCAAUGACCGUACUAUAGCAUUCAAACGAGCCACCUAGAUACCAAAAGCGACAUAACCUAUUUAAGCAGCAAUAUCAUAACCAGGAGUAGACUCCUAACGUGUAAAAUAACUUUUUCAAAGCAUUUUGGACUCAACCUACAUUAGAGUGAGCUGACUUGAAACAAGACUGUCAUUUGAUGACCACAAGAACCACCUACUCUCUGGGAAAUCCUUGUUUCCAAGAUAUCACUUGCACAGUUGCAGUUAAUCAAUUCUCGCCAGACAUGCAUCGCAUUGCAAUUCCAAAAAUUCCUCUGCACAGUAGAAAUGUCUCGGAGAGCAAGUGAAGAGAUAGGCUGCCGCUGCUCUCUGUUGCUGGAUAAGAGGAUGGAGGUUUGCUCAGUUGCAAUCUCUAGCCUCUCUUUUGAUUUAGACGGUUCGGACACCAGAGUCGAAACCAGAUUUUGCAGAAGCUGGACUCUUUCUCCAUGAUCCUCAGCGUUACUUCUGAAUGUCUUGCCAAAAGACGUACUGAUCCUGCGCCACCUCAGAGGAAGAUAUCUGUCUGGGACCGGAAAAUAGUUUCCGGUAGAGAGAACAUGGAGUGCGUGCCUGCAGAGAAACCCAGAGAAGUCAAACAGUUGGCAAUUGCAGCUUAUGAUGCCUUCUUGAGGAACCCAAUAAACUUUUCUUCCUCCACUGAGUUUUGUGUGGUGCCUCACGAGAUACCAGUCAUCCAUCUCGAAAGAUGCGUAGAGAGCUGCAAGCACAAGCUGUGCUUGGAGAUUGGAGAAAGCGGAAGGAGUGAGGACUGAGGCUGCUAGAGAUUCCAUGGGGAAACCAGUUUUAGGCUGAUGUUCUGGAGAUUAUGUUGUAUUGUCUGCUGUUCUAUGGCUUGGUCUUUGAAAUCCACAGCAACAGCCACCUGGAUUCCACCUGUUACUCAAAUAAGUAACAGCAAAUUCAAUACACGUAAAAAAACAUUUCAUGAGAUAAAAUGCAUAAACCCUAUAUAAUAAAUGGUUGAACCAUUAAUAUAUAUAAGAGCUCAAAAUAGCUCACUUCAUUAUCCAUAGUCAUUCUUCUUACAAUGAGUAACAUAUUCAGUUCCAAUAUAGAAGAUUUCAUCUAGACCAGCAACGAGUAAACACUGUCAGGAGGAGAAGAAAACAUACUGGUUCUACAAAUUGAGGUAGCCGGGUUUGUGCGCUCAAGAACCUCUGAAUCAAGGAGUUGAUUGGCUUUGGAUCGGCCAGUCAAAGUCAUUCCAGCUAAAAAAUGGUUUCUCAGGUAUGGUAAAGAACACAAGGAAUGUGCGACAUACAGUUUGUUUAUGUGGAGUCCAAAGGAGUUCACCAUGUCUCUUCCAACCCAACUCGAACUCCUCAAUGGAUUCCAGAUGUUAGAUGCGGAUAGAAUUCAACUCCAGUCACUGUACCGCUCCCCAAGACCAGCAUUAAACCAGGAUGGAAACUUUCCAACAACUAUCCAUAUGCAGAGUUCAUGCUUAGAUGGCUUCUUUGAGUUACAUAUUCGUCCUACUCACAGACAAUUUCCAAGAAUUUAAAAAGUAAAUAAGUGGAAAAGAAACUUUAUCAGCUUAGUAUGCCAUUUUGUUACUUGUAGUGCCCAUGACCACGAUCUAAAAUUUUCAUCCCAUAGAAGUACACAACAGAAGAAGCAAUGCACACCAUAGUUAUUAACUCGAACCCAUAUUCCAAGCGGCAUCUCAACUGCACUUAAGCAAUGUGUUGUAUCGAAAACUACAGCAUCUCCAAAGAUUCCAUAUGACUGAAUGGAAGAUGCAUAUGACCAGGCAAUAAUUUCUAGCUUAUCAUUUGCAUCCAACGUAAACUCAAACUUAAAGUUAGGGUCUUUCUCCUUUAUGCUUUGGCACAUCCUCAGGAAAUCAAUGUUCUCAUCCUCAGGAUCGAGUUUCUUGAAGGACUGAAGCAUAUUCCUGACAUCCUUUUCAGUGAAUGGUAAAAAGCCUAGCUCGACACACUUCUCAAGCUCUACCAUCCGCAUCGAUAGGUGUGUUACCAGCACGGUGACAAACAAAGUACCGCCUAGUAAUUCCUUUUGCAUCUCCGUCUUUUCUUUCUGUCCUGUGAAAUAUCCGCCUAUUUUCAUGCUUUUCCUUAACAAAUAUGCAUCCAUACGAGAACUAAGGUGGUUUAUAGCAAGGUAAAGGUUCCCCUGUGAGGGUUAAGGAGGGUUCUAGUAGACUAUGCAGAAGCUGCUAAAAGUAACAAUACAUAAAACGAAAAAUACAGAAACGCCAGUCCACUCGACCCAGGACAAUGGCGUGACCUAUAAAGCAGUGAACAUGAGACUGAAAAGAAGAAAACAGGUACGCCACGGUAGAUGGAUUCCAAUCCUCAAAUAUGUUGCAGGGAUAAGUUGUCUGUCUAAGUUCAUCAGAAAUGAGAUUAUUCAUUUUCAUAUAACUACAAUGAAACAUAUGAUCAGCAACUUGGGGAAUAAGUUCAAAAAUGCUGAGGUUGACACACAUGAAUGAUGAAAUAAUCUGUAAAAUGCAGCUGGAGAUCAAAACCUAACCAGUUCGCUAUAAGUCUAGGACCACCAUCAGAGUAAAUAAACAACCAUAUAAAGCCAGCCACAGUUGCCAGACGCCAACAUAAACUGCAAAGAAAGAUAAACAAAUUAAGCAGAUAGGUCCUCUUCAGGGAUAAAUGCUUGGCGCAAAUUCAACUUUCACUACUUGACCACAAAGAUUCCAAUAUAUUAGUUUAGCAUAAAUGAUUAAAAUUAGUUACAAAGCCACCAUUUUUGUUUACCUCUGAUAACCAGAUAGUGGAAGAAUUACCACCCAGUGACCAUUGCUUCACCAACCUGGAAUUCAACAACAAUCAAAGCAAUAAUGAAGAUAAAAUGUCUAAGUAGUUUGAAAAUAAAUUGGCACAUUACAGGGAGAUAGUUAUUGAGAAGUUCAAAACCCCUUCUUCAAGUUUAAUGACAAGUACCAUCAUCAUUAGAACCAUAAUGUUUGUAAUCAAAUCAGUAUAGUAUUACGAGCUCUGUGCGUGAAUUCAAACUGAUGCUAUAUCGUGCGACAGCAAACAUAUAUCAAGUUACAUCUCUCCAUGAACUAAAAUCCACAAGGAGUUAAUACAGUUACAGCUGCUACUUUUCGGGGUUUUUGCCUUCCUAACAUCGGAAUCUUAUCUAUUAAAACCAAUGGCAAUGGUACGCAAUUCAUCGGUUACCAAAUUGACCCACAGAAGUUGAACCUACACUUGAUCACCAUAACAGUUAUAAAUUUCGGACAAGCUUUAUAAAAGUAAACUCUGCAGAUAAUACUAUCACAAAAUUGAUGCGAUUGAAUUGAAGACCUAAGUCGAAAAGAAAAGAAAAAGAUACUUCCAGGCUAAAAAAGUUAUCAGGGAUUCCCAGUACAGCUGCAACAAAUAUACAGACCACUUCCCCAAUAUAUGAAUUGCUUCUGUGCUGUUAUAUAUAGCCCUUCCUUCUGCAACAACCUGUCAAGACGAGAAAAAGUUUAGGAGGUUGCAUCAACAAAGAAACUUACCGCAACUAUUGAAGCAAAACUAUCAUCUUCCAAAAUCAUAACUGAUGCACUCUGGAAUUCACAGGGAGCUUGUAUAGAAAAUGGCUUUGGUUCUAAGUAUCAUAUGUGUUCUUCCAUAUUAUUUUUUGUCAAAAGCAGAAGGAUUUGGUUUCUAAGUUGUUGUUUUGCGUUUUCUUUUUUCUCAACAAAGAAUGCAUUUAUUAAAUAUGGAAAUCAGAAAAACAUUGUUUUGUCAAAGUCUACAAAUAUGGCCAAAGUAAAGCCAUAGAGGAUUCCAAAACUAAGAAAAUAAAGUAAAAUGUGGCUAAAUAAAACCCUGCAUCGCUCAUAUCAAGAUUUGAAUCUCCACAUCGGUGGCUCGUUAAUGGUCUUUACCAUAUGAAGACAGUAUAGUGACCCGAUCUUCUAACUCCUGUCGAGACAUAGAACAUUUAAAAAAACAUGGUUAAUUGGUGAAGCCUUCUUCUUAUUAUAAAUACUCUGUUCUACUUAAAGAUGCACAAAAUUGUAAACACGAACCUAAGAGAGAGAGAGAGAGAGGGGGACUGGGGGAGAGAGAGUAAUCUAGUGCGGGAUUAUUCACCUGCACCAAAACAAGGAACAAACCAACGAGCCUCUCCAAUCAAGAUGCCGCGGUGUCGAAUAGGUUUGAUAGCCUGCUUAGGAAUCUCAUACGCAGAGAUCUUGUGCGUAGGAAAUUCAUAGGUAGCAACUUCCCGAAUAGAUGAAUUAGAAGUGUGACAGUAAUAUAUGGAAUCUUUCUUGAUACCGGAUACGCCUUUGGUUGGCAAAGUGACGCUCAAAUCCCAAACCAACGACUCCUCGUCCUCGAAAGAAUGCACUCUCUCCCAGUCCGCAGCAUCGUCGUCGUCGCCCAACCCUUGCACCCGAAACGACUCCUUCGUCUCUCUUUUGCUACUCAUCUUGUAGAUUUGGAACGGGAUUCUUUUGUGAGUGACUGUCACCCAUUGGAUCAUCACAACAUCUCCAGACGUGGUUAGUCUCAUUCCCCUCCUACGAUUAGGAAACUCGGUAACAAACGGUCGAUGGGAGUAUGGAUGAUUGUCGAUUUGUCUAGGCAAGUCUCCAAGAGAAAAGUCCAAGAUUCUGAUGCUACCAUUGUAAGUAUGUAUGUAAAGCUUCUCGUCUUUGUAGGCCAUAUCCAAACACCCGAAUAGCUUCCCACAAGUGCUUGCCGGAAUCUCAAACCACUCUUGCUCUCUUUUCCUGCAAUAAUAUAUGUAGGCACCCGGAUGACAUGCCUCUUUGUACGACCACACAACUAAGUAGUCUUUGGUUUUUUCGUCUACCCACAGAACCGAAUUCCCCACUACUACACUGUUUAUUCUGAAAUCGUCGAAGAGUAGGUGGAAAAUAUAGUUACCGGGUCUCUCGAACUUUGUGCCGCUGUUUGAAUAUUCAAGAGGUGGGAGACGAAUGAGCUCUGGCGUGAAGGGAUUAAUGAUGUAGAAAUUUAUUUCCUUGUCAAAGACCAAGACCCAACUCCCACAACUCGCCACGCCACGACACUCGGCAAAGCGACCUAGGUUUUGUGUUCUGUAAAACUUUUCUUCUUCCGAAUUAAACAUGAGCCAGUGCGUGUCUUCGUAGAGAAUCAGCCACGGAGUAUGGUUUUUUCUAGGUGAGGAUGAUUUGGAAGCAAAGUACCACGACGAACAAACGGUCUUAGCUCGAGCAAAAUCUGUAAAGCUCAAGUGCUUGAAAACCAAUGACCAGAUGUCUGUGACAAGUUCCGACCAAUUCGGAGUAUCACCAUCUGUUGCCAUCGCUGUAAUUGAUUUCGUAUGCAUCGGUUGAGGUUGAAUUUAUACACACAAUCACAAACUAGGGUUUUCCGGAAAAAAAAAAAAGAAUUUUGAUAUUUCUUUCUUGUAAGAAAGGAAAUUUACCGUCCUAAAUUUUAGGAAAUCCAACCAAGGAUCAAUUGAAUUCCAAUUCCGUCUCCAGAAAUCCUGCAAGCACAAAUUUCGCAAGGCAGAUUCAGAUUUCAAAGAUAGUGAGAAAUCAUAAGCAAAAGGAGAAGCAAUGUUGACGGGGAUCGAAUAGCUUGCGCCGACUUGAGCAAAGGUACUCACAUUUUUCGUCUGAUUUGAUUUUUCUUAUUGGGUAUUUUGGGAUGUCUGCGGUUUGUACUGCACGGAAGAUGACAGUAUCGUCUGACUCUCGAUGCUUUAUUUGUUUUGACAAAAUGUCACAAAUGCUUUCAUCCGAUAUCGAAAGUGCGGGGAAGAUUUAGUUAUUGAAGAGGCCCGAGGAGGGAUAGUGGGAGAAGGACCAUGUUCUGAGGACGAUUGCUUUGGCUGCUUGAAUCAUUUCGAGCAUGAUCUGCAGAUUGAAUUUGGCUACUUCCUUACGAUCUCGGGUUGGGCUUUUACUGGGUCUAGAAUUGUUUAAGAAGAUCGAAGCCCAAGUCAUCGGUUAUUUCCCUUUUGUGCCAUUGUGUCCUUUUGUUCUGCUAUAUAUGCUUGCUUUAUCAUUUCUUUUUAUUUUGGAUUUAAUGUAAGCUGGAUUUAAUACGACUUUUUUUUCUUUUACAAGUUGCAAUAUUGGUAGUAUUAAAAAAAAAAAUUCCCUCGUAGCUUAUUAUUAUUUUCUUAUGCUCUAAUCGAUUUUUUUUUUUUUUAUAUAUAAGAGUUUAAUGUGUCAUUAAACCUGCCAAAAAAUCUGUAUUUAAAAGAAAUUCCCUAAUACCCUUUUCCUAUAUUUUGAUUUUCAGUCUGAAAGCAAAAAACCCAUCUCCUCUUUUGUGAGCUUCUUCAUAGAAGAACAGUAGUCAAUAGUCAUCGACCCUGUAAAAAACCACCUCAUUCAUCAAAUUAACUGUCAUAUGAAAUGUUGACAAAAUAGAAAUAUGAUUUGAAUUUUACCCUGCCAAAGUACCACGACAAACAAACGGUCUUAGCUCGACCAAAAUCUGUAAAGCUCAAGUGCUUGAAAACCAGUGACCAUAUGUCUGUGACAAGUUCCGACCAAUUCCGAGUAUCAUCAGUUCAUCACCAUCUGUUGACGUCGCUCUAAUCGAUUUUGUAUGCAUCGGUUGCGUUACGUAUUUAUUUAUAGACACAUUUAUCACAAGUAGGCCAGUUUUUUUUUUUUACUUUUUUUAGCAUUAGUGAUUUUUUUCGCAUUAAAAAGGAAAAUCUUAUAAGGAAAUUUUAAAAAAAAAAAUUGAGUAAAAAGGUAAAUAAAACUCUUAUUUCGUUUUUGUCAUGUUUUCACCCGCGAGAUCGGAGAACAACUCAAAUCUCUCCGGCCUUAACCACUUUCUCCGGCGAAAUCCCUAAUUUCUAGGAAAUCUUCCGUCAGCCAAGGAUCAAUCGAAUUCCGAUUCCGUCUGCAGAAACCCUUCAAGGCAAAUUUCAGAUGUAGAAAUCGAAGAUAGUGAGAAAUUAUAAGCGAAAGAAAGAGAAGAAUUGGUGAAGGGAGGCUCGAGGAAUAAUGAGACAAGGACCAUGUUCUGAAGAAGAUUGCUUUAUCUUGUUGAAGCAGUUCGAGCAUGUUCUUGAAUCUGACCCUCUUAUGUGAGUCUCAUGUUCUUAUUAAUUGGUUUGAGCUUUGAAUUGAAUUUGGUUUCUUCCUCUUCUCUUACCAUUAUCCUCACUCCUAAGUUAAUGCUUCCUCUUACUUUGUUUUGUCACUCUGAAUUCAGUGAUGAAGUAGGGUUUAUUCACCCCUCACAGUUCAACCUGCUGGAUGAAGAAGCAGGUUUCUCCAAUGUGUAUCAAAAUGAACUCCAGCCUAACAAUGGAACCUCAAGAAAGUUCUGGAAUCAAGAUCACAAAUUGGGAAUAUCAACUGAUAUUCUUGUUCAAUUAUGUAAAUAUGCCAAACAUGCGUUUCUGCUUGCGCUUGAUGAGUACAAACGCCAUGGAAAUAUCUCUUGUUCCCCCAGUACUCCCGAGAGUGAAGUCAUGAAGCAUAGCCAAGCUGUUUUGCUGUUAAGCUCAGACUUUGGAACUGCAUGGAAUGCUAGGUACUCAUAUAAGUAAUAAUUGUUCUAAUAUGUUUCCUAGUGUUUAACCUCAUCUUGUAUGUGUGUCCUGGAGAUAGGAAGUUGAUUUUGUCAAAAAAGGAUCAACUUUCGGCAUUCACGCAAGAACUUCGUCUUUCUGGGCUCAUUCUUUCAAAUUCUCCUAAGAGUGAGUCAACAUGGAGCCAUAGGUCAGUCUUUAUGAUUCAUUGUAUUCAUUAGAAUCAUUGUUUCCCAUCAUUGUUAUCCUUUAGUAAUGCAAGCACACUUUCUGAUCUUAAGUGCAUUUUAAUUUCUGUUACAGCCUGAAUAGUUCCUACUUGUUCUUGUCCAUUUACUUUCCUCGUAAUAUUUGGUUUUCAUUUUAACAGAAGGUGGAUAAUUAAGAUGAUUUCCCUGGGAUUUCCUACACUACAAGUGAUUAUAACCAAAGAAUCUGAGUUAGUGGAAUCAAUAGGCGAGGUUUAGUUCCAGAUUUGAUGCUUACAUUAAUGAAAGUUCAUCAUAUAUCUGAUGAAACAAAUAUUGGUUUCUCCUAAUCUUCACAAUUUGGCUAUCAUGUAUAUAUUAAAUGGUCGAUCACUCUGACCAUUCCUACUUAUAUGACAAGACCACUUACUUUGUUCCUAAAAGAAACUAGCUCCUAAUCAAAAUUCAUGCCUUUUGCAGAGAUCAAAGAUGAACUAUCGUGCAUGGUAUCACCGUUUGAUUAAUUAGUGUAGAGAUGGGCACGGUAUGAAGAUCUAGCACCUAUCAUAGGGAUCUGUUAUUAAAGAAACCACCAAGUUGGAUUUUGUAGACGCACCCCAAGUACAUAAUUUCUCUCAGAGUUUUUUGGACGACAAAGAUAGUUUGUAAACAGUUUGUUGUCGACUUGUCGUGCUACUAUGGAGAUGAUCGAAUUAGUGACUUAUUUGAGUUGUUACAAAUUUUCUUUCAGGCCCUAUGGCUUCACCGGCGGUUCCUCUCUCUUAAUUGGAUAAUGUAUUUCACUUGCAAUGAUUCAGAUGUUUCACCUGAACCCGGAGAGAGUAUCAUUAUGAAUGAAGAAAUUGCCAUCUUCAUUAAUAAUGAGAUCCGUCUCCUAGAAUCUGCUAUGACUGUUCCGGAUACCAAAUUUGAAGAUUUCCAAGCUCAAGCAUUGCAUACUGGUGUCUACAUGCUAUGGCUGACAAAGGUAACAGUGAUCUUGUCCAAAUAAAGUCAUCAAAAAAAUUGCCAAUAUUGUCAAUCACACGUGUGCAGAAAAUAGCAGAAUGAUGGAAAUAUGGUGGACUUGACGUUUUCUCUGAUGAUUCAUUGAUUUUCUGGUAUGCAUUCGUUUAUGAGCAGAAAAUGCCAGAAUUGUGGAGAAUGCUUGAGGAGAAGCUUGGAACAGAGAAAGUGAAGUGUGUAAUGAGCACAAUUGCUCAAGAGAGACCCUCACAUCAUUUGGUGAAUGUCUGAAGGUUCUCUUGAGAGUUCAAAAUGCAAUAUCUUCUUACACUUUUACGUUAAUUAGCCAGAAGACUGCAGUCUCCAUAAAUUGUUGUCAAACCAUGUCUCAGAACCUCUGUUUGACAUUUUUCCUUUGCCGACAUAGCUUAAUAAGUUGAUUAAUGAAGAAGUUGACCGAUAAACCUUUGUUAUCAAGUGUUACACGAGUCUUUGUAGCUCAAUCUCGAUGCUUAUUUGUCUUGAAAAUGUCACAAAAGCUUUCAUCAGAUAUCGAAAGGGGACGAUCAAAUUCUUGGGUGCUCUCCUUGGACAAAAACAAAUCUCGAAUGCUCUUGUUUUAAAAAAAAACAAUUUUAUUUUCAUUUUCUUUAAUCCAAAGAGAGUAAAAGAGACAAUAACCCCUUAUAUUAUAUAUUCAGUUAUUUACCAGUCCAAGUAUGGCAAUUGGGUCAUCCAUAUCCGAAUUCGUUGUUAUCGGAUCAAAUCUAUUUAAAAUCUUCUUUUUUUUUUUUCUGUUGAAUCACAAAUUUUCGUUUUCUCCUGCAUAAAACAAAAAUUCAACUAUGUACAACUUGGGUAUAUCUACGCACACUUCCAAAUUUUUGUAUGUAUAACUAGAUAUUCAACUAUGUACAAAUUUUUGUAUGUACGCGGGUCUAUAUUUUCCCUAAAUAAAAAAAUGAUUUUUUUUAGAAUGAUCUAUAGAUAUAUGGUAUACCGCAUGUCAAUAUUUUAUAACUAAAAAAUCAAAAUUUAAGUUGUAUUUGUUUUAUUUAGUGUUUAAGAUUGUAUAAUUGUAUUUUGAUCGCUAAUUCUAGGAUUUCACCCGUAAUAUACCAUCCCGUAUUAAUAUCGAUCUAAAUCCGUCCCACUAUAUAACCCCAUCCCGUGAAAUUAAACAUCAUUUUUGUAAUUUUUUUUAUAAAGUUCAAAUAUUUCUAAUAUUUGAAACUUCAUAAAAGUUUUAAUACGACCCAAACUUCAUAAUUGUAUUUUGAUUGUUAUAUCUAGGAUUUCACCCGUAGUAUACCGUCUCGUAUUAAUAUCUUUUAUAAAUAUUUAUAAUGUUUAAACUACUUAUAAAUUCUUAUAAAAUUCAAAUAUUUAUAAUAUUUGAAACUUCAUAAAAGUUAUAAUAUUAUAAAUAAUUAAAACGUUUAAUAAAGUUAGACUUUUUUAAAAGUUUAAAUAAUUAUAAUAUUUAUUUUUUUAAUAAAUUUUAAAUAUUUGGAUCCACAUUUAUACUAUAUACUAUAGAAAUUAGAGUUUAUGAGUUUAAUAAGUAUACUUUAAUAAGAAUUAUUACAGUAAUAAAAUUUACAAUCAAUUAUAUAUGUCUUACAAUUUGGAUGUAUGAAAUUGUUGAUCUCAUUUGUAAGCAUGAGUGGAAUUCAAAACAUUUGGGUUAUAGUUUGUAUUUUCGUUUUUUAUUUUUUCGUUUAAGUUUUUUAAAAAUCAAUGCUAUCAAAGUGUAGUUAUCUUUUAUAUAUAUAUAUAUAUUAAGAUUAUCAUUAAACAUGAAGAUUUACCUAGAAAAAAUAGGGUGAAUAAAAAAAACUAACCAUAUGAAAGAAUCUGACGUAAAUUUAAAGCAUAUGCUCUUGAUAAUGGCAAUCAUCAAUGGGUUGCUCAUCUUGUAUAAGAUUAUCUGCGCAAGACAUCAAAUGUUUAGUAAAUUCAUGAAUCAGAAAAAUGAAAGUUCAUAUAACAAAUAAAGAUUGGAAUGGGUAAGAAGAGGUAUUUGUUUGAUGAGUCUUCUAAUCGAGUAAAACUGUGGUAUUUAUAGGGUAGGUAGGCAUCUAGGUUUAUUGUUAAGGUAGUUUGAUAAUAUCUUGGAGAGAAAGUAGAAAAUCAAAGAUAUUAUAUACAACGAAAGUUUAGGAUAUGUUUAAGGAAAGAUUAGGAAAUCGUUAUAUAACAAAAUUUAUUUGAAAAAGAUUGUAAAUGAUUUGGUUUUGCAGAGAAUCUUAAAAAAAAGCUAAGCAACCAUUUAAAAGGAAUAGAGCCGAUUAAUGUGGUAAUUAGUUUAGGAAAUCACAUUAAACCGAAUUAAAAAAAUAAUUAUAGUCAUAACUUUGUUUCUUAAAAUCAAAUGUUAAGAAAAAUAUCGAAGAGUAUAUAAUUAUGGUAUCAUCGUUGAGAUUUUCUUGGGCGGGAAUUAUGGAUUCAAUUAGAGAAGGGAACCAUAUAAUGGAAAGAAUUUAAUUAGCCAUAAUUAUGUUUUAAAAAUAUUUUAUUGCAUAAUAUAAAGAGAAUAUAGAUGAUAUAUGGUAUGUGGAUGUAAUUAGUUAAGAUGGCAUAAAUAUUCGAAAAUCAUCUCAAGAUAAAGAGUAAUAUAGCCUAUUAAUAUGGGAAGAAGUUAAGGAAUAAGGAAACAUAAAUAUAUGUGUAAUUAUCUAUAUUAAUGACGUUUUUUUGGUUAGAGAUAUGUAGAAUUAAAUGAUAAUUUGGUAUUAAUUAAAUGCUAUCAAAUAUCUCGGAGAUUUUAUUUUAGAAACUAAUCGUGGACUAAGCAGAGAUUUUUGCAAGAUUCGUAAACGGAAAAUCUUUAAUGCUACUAUUGAUAAAAAGGAAUAGAACCAAUUAAUGUGGGAAGUAGUUAAGGAAAUAAGAUUAAAACGAAUUGUAUGUUUAAUUUAGUCUUAAAUGUCGUUUUUAUUACAAUAUUCCUUAAAUCUCUUAUUCUAGAUCCGAAUAGGUUUAAACCGGGUAAAACCCGGAUCCAAAUGAUUAAAAGCAAAUAAAACCUGUAAAAAUGAAUAUGUAGAUAUGAGUUUAAUACCAUUAAAUUAAUCAAAGAUUUGUAAUCAUAAUUGGAAACGAAUAAUGCAGUAAAUGCGAUUUAGUAAUGUUGUAAAGAAUAUGUCAUUUAUGUAGAAUGAUUGUUGCGAUUAGUUUCCAAUUAGUUUUAUUUUUGGGAUUAUAGUAUCUCAAAUUUUAAACUAAUUUAGAUUUUAUUGUUUUGUUUACAUAAAUACGAAAAUAAUUUGUUCACCCACAUCAUAAAAUAUUACCAAAAUAUAUAUAUAUAGUAAUAUUAAAUAAAAGAUUAUAUAACUAACUAUUUUCAUUUGAUGGUGUAGACAAAUUAUUAUUAAUAUUUAUGUAAUUUAAUUACAAAAAUAAUUUAGAAAAAUAACAAAUAUUACUUUUUAUAACAAAACAAAAUAUUAUUCGUAAAAACAAUAUUUAUUAUAAAAAAUAUUUUGAGAAUCCUUUAGAAAUUUAAUAUUAGAUAUUCAAAUAUAUCAAAAACAUAAUUAUGGAUUAUGUGAAGAUUAGGAUAUAUAAUCUUCAAAUAAACAUAUUUUAUUAUGAUUUCCUUAUGGAUGUAUAUAUUAAUUGUUAUUUUGAUUUUAAAUUUAUUGCAAUUUAAAUGGGGAAUUGCCUAUAUUUAAUCUGUUAUUGUAAAAGAAAAAUGAUGUAGCUUAUUAUUGGAGUAUUUACACAAAUUUAUUAACAUAAUAUAUAUAUAUAUAUAUAUUGUUAAAAAAUAAAUACAUUUUUCUUUAUAAUUUCAUAAUAUAUUUAUUGUUAAAAUCUGGACAUUUAUUAUGAGCAUAAAUAUGAAAAACGAUUUUCCAUUAAAAUUGGCUAUUUAUUAGAGUCAUUAAUAUGAAAGAUUAUUUACCAUUAAAAUAGGUAACUUCUUUGUAAUUAAAGAAACAUUAAACGGAAUAAGUAGAUGAAUUAAAGACAACAUGGCUUCAUUUAUCAGUUUGUAAUUAAGACAACAUCCCUAAAAUUGCUUAUCCAAGAUCCGAACAGACUAAAACCGGGUCAAACCCGGAUCCAAAAGAGUUUAUGCAAAAAUCCCCUGUAAAAAUGUAUAUGUAGAUUGUGUAGAAUUUGAUUGCAUAUUGGAAUUGUUUUUGUAUAAUUUGUGUCGAUUUUGUAGAAUUGUUGUUGAAUUAAAGGUAUAACUAGCAGUAUUUUCUCGGUCAUUUCCGAAAGCCUAGGAUUACUACAUCAAUCACAGUACAUGAGCAAAUUUAGUUUGGUCAUUCAAACUCGUCUUCUUUUAAUUUUUUUUUUUCUCAGAAAAGAAAUAAAAGUUAGUCAUCCUCAGUGAAAUAAGAACACAACUUAAAAAUCAACCAAUCGGAUCGGCGAUUAUUUUUACCAACUUGGACAAAAUCGUCACGGUCUCCCUGUACCAUUCGAUCGGAAUACCGACCCCUAUACAUAAGCCGCCCUGCCUAGGAUAUGUUGAUACAUAUCAGAAAUUGGCUUUGGAAAAUUAUGAUCGGUACUAUUAAAAGUAUUCGAGACACUUGAAAUCUCGCUUAAAACAAAUUUAUUGAACUAAUUUAUUCAAUGACACCAAUUAUAAUAGGAAUAUAUAUUAUCUUAGAAAUAUUAAUCACUAAACUGUGAUGGGCCAACCAAAUGGGCCCAACCCAAUAAUCCAUAUUCGUUCGUUUGUUAGUAUCAUGAGAACUAGGGUUUUAGUUUAUCAGAGAAAACUGGAGCAGUGUUGGCGCGUGAUUCGUCGGAGAUGGUACUUCGUGAUUGGAGAGCAGAUGCAAGAACGCCCCGAUUUUUUGUGGAUUCUGAGGAAUCGAUUGAUGAAGAUGCGUUGGCUGUUGCAGAAACAGAGGAUGGUGGUAGCUUCUUUCUUGACACAUGGGGUCAAAUCAGGAGAAAUCGCCCGCCGGUGCGACCGAAGCUCUUAGAUCUGUGUCUGCGAGGAGUUGCGGAAAACUCACAUGCGUUAUCUUCUCUGCAACUUGUACCAGAUGAUUUGAAAAGCAGGAUAGCGUCUAUGGUGCCUCGUUUGAGUAAGAUCGAUGCCAAUUUCGUGAAGCUUUUGGUUCAAGAUUCGCCAGCUGAGGUUAUUGUCAAGGACUGCUCAAGUUUGGAAGAGAAUGAUGUGAAAGAUAUUCUCUCUGCCUGUAACGGAGAUAAGUUGCAAGUAAGUUCAGUUUGUUUUUCUCCAAGUUUCCUGCAUAUAGACUCGAUUUUACUUGGUUGUUGUUGUGUAAGAACUUUGUUCCCCACAUUUGUUUCUUUUGGACAAAUAAACCAAUGUUUUCGUAAGUUCAGUUUGUUUUUAUCCAAUUUCCUGCAUAUAGACUUGAUAGUCUGACUCAAUUUUUGUCUUUUAGAGAGAACGUUUUAGUAGCUUCUCUAAGAUCUUUUCCCCAUUGGUUUCUUUGUCAACUAAGUUCAGUCCGUUUUUCUCCAAUUUCCUGCAUAUAGAUUGGAUUUUCUGACUUAGUUUUUGUCUGGUUUGAGUUAACUUAUCUAAGAUCUUUCUUCCUCAUUUGUUUCUUUUGUCCUGAACGUCAAAGAGAUUUUUUCUGGUAUUUAACUGUUUUUGUUUUUUAAUCCCAGGUCUUAAUACUCUACUUCUGUGCACAAGCCCAUACAGAUAGCUUGUUGUCCAUCUCAUCAAACAGAUUUCCAGUGUUGUCAUCGUUAUCUCUGAGGGGUGCAUUCCGUCUGACUGAUAAUGCGCUGGACUCGAUCUCAAAGGCUGCUCCUUCACUUGAGUUAAUUGACCUCUCAGAGUGCUCUAUGCUCACAUCCUUUGCGAUGGUGAUUCUGGUCAACAACUUUGGAGCCACUCUGAGAGGUCUUGACAUUGAAGGCUGUCAAAUCGACCUAUCUCAAGUUUCAGAGGUCGUAAAAAACUUCAAGUCCCUCGAAUAUUUUUCAAUCGCAGGAGUUGAAGGUGUUGAUGAUGGUUUCGUUGUCAAGUUUCUUGAAGUCUGCGGUUCUAAGUUGACUGGUCUUUCUCUUGCCAGAUGCGAGUAAGUCUACUAUCUUUAUAUAGUCACGCUAGAAACUAUUUUCCCCAGUUUCUUGCAUAUAUUGUCUAAGAUCUUUGUUCCCCAUUGGUUUCAUUGGUUUAAGCAAUUUCAAUAUGUUUUUCUCCAAAUUUCCUGCAUAGAAACUGGAUUUUCUGACUUUGUUUUUGUGUUUACAAAGAGGGAAUUCGUUUUGGUAUCUUGUCCAAGAUCUUUGUUUUCCAUUGGUUUCAGUGGUUUAAGCAAUUUCAGUCUGUUUUUCUCCAAAUUUCCUGCAUAUAGACUGGAUUUUAGGACUUAGCUUUUGUGUUUACAAAGAGGGAAUUCGUUUUGGUAUCUUUGUUCCCCAUUGGUUUAAGCAAUUUCAGUCUGUUUUUCUCCAAAUUUCCUCCAUGUAGACUGGAUUUUCUGACUUUUUUUUUGUGUUUACAAAGAAAUUAGGAAUUCGUUUAAAUAGCUGAGCACGCUUUCUAUUUCCUUUGUGGUAUAUAGGGAUGUAAGUGACGUCUCCAUCCAAGCAAUUGGAAAAUAUUGUGCAAAUCUAGGUGCACUUGAUGUUUGGGGCGUGGUUAAGUUGACCGACAUGGCCCUGAAAUAUAUGUCUGUCUGCAGUUCGCUGUGCGUUCUCAAAUUUGGGAGUAACAGUUUCAGGUUUGCCCAUCCCAUGUGUCUCUAACUUUUAUUACAUCACAAAGUUGAUUCAUGCAUUCAUUUAACUUGGUAUUAUACCUGGCAGUGAUCAGGCUAUAGCUACUUUUCUUGAAGAAGGGCCAGGACCUUCUCUGCAACAGUUGUGCCUUCAUAAAAUCAGGGAGGUUAGUACCUUAAGCAUGCCUCGUUCUCUUCAUUGGCUUCUUGCUUGCUUUACUACAAGUAAUGUCACAUUUUGAAUUUGGUUUUGGAUCUCUUCACUGCCUGCAGGUUGCUCAACAAACUGCCACGACUUUAUCUGAGUGUUGCAAGAGUUUAUGGUAUCUUGACCUAUCUUGGUGUCAGAAAAUCACUGGAGAAGAUGUAUGCAAGAUACUCGUUGGUUGCCCGUCACUAAGCCAAGUUAGGGGUUUUGGAUGCAAGAAGGUACUCAGAAAAGCUCUUGAAGCUGCUGAAGUGAUCAGAUCUUAAAUGUAAUCUGGUUGACAAAGAAGUGAUAGACUUUCUUAACAUAUCGUAAAAGACUUGGGGGUUUUGAAGUGAUAUAUUUUUCAUGUAUGAGACAACUUAUGUGUUUUGGAUGCAAGCAAGUACUCAGAAAAGCUAGAUUUUAAAUGUAAUCUUUCAAUCUAAAUUUUAAGGGGGUGUUAUUGGUUUGGGAUUUAGAAAGACUUUUAAUGAGUUUAAAAGUUAUGUAGAAUAUGUUGUUAUUCAAUCAAGAUUUUUAAAAACUCUAUUACAAUUUGGUGUUAUUGGUUUGAGAUUUAUAAAAAGUAAUCUAAAAUCUUUAUAAAUCUAGUGUUAUUGGAUUAAGAGUUUUAUAGAGUCAUUAAAAGUUUUGUGUUAUUCAAUUAAAACAAAAGAAUCUUGGAUUGUUGAUAAAUUAAAAUAUUAUGUUAUUGGUUUAGGAUUUUAUAUAAUUUUCUUCAUAAAAAAAGUCAUGAAAACUCCUCCAUAAAAUAGAGAGAUUGUGAAUAGAGUCCAUGACUUUGUAUGUGUCAGCAAUCUUUGACACCGGAAUCGUCUCCGUCGCUGCUUCUCCUGUUCUCCAGCAAUUUUGGUGCUAGAGAAUCAAAAGAUCCAAACACAAUGAAAACAAGUAAAUAUUAUAUGAACAUACAAGAAUCUAACGAUCGACACACGAAAUUCAUAAGCGAGUAUUAUGAUAGAAGAAGCGUACCUCUGUAACUCUGAUAAACAACCUAGUAUAUAGAAGAAAACCAGGCCUACACAGAACAUGUUAUAUAGAAGAUAGAAGAUGGUCACUAGACGUUAAUAAAAAUUGGACAAGAUUUUGGAAAUAUUUUGUAGGAAAAGUUUGGAAAAGUUAUCAAGAGUAUACAAGAUUAUGGAAAAAAGUUUUAAAGACUUUACAAGAUUUUGGAAAAUAAAUCAUCAAGAUAAUAUAAAACUUUUUAACAAUCUUUUAAAAUCCUUUAUUAUCAAGUCACUAAAAGUCUUUCUAAAUCCCAAACCAAUAACACCCCCUAAAUGUAAUCUGUUUGGCAAAGAAAGAAGUGAUAGAUUUUUACCAAACAUGCAUAUAUGGAGCUAAUACGUACAUGCUUUUCAUGCUUUUCUAUAUAUGCAUGGGAGAGAGAGAGAGAGGACUUCUCGACUAAAACUUGUACAUCUUCAGCAUAUACAUAUACUAGAUAAUGACCCGUCCAUCGGACGGGUUUAAUUUUUUAAAAAUGAAAAUUAAAUUUAACAAAAAAACUAAUUAACAACGUUGUAAGUGAAAUUUUUCUUUCAAAAGUAAAAAAAUAUUUACUUUUUUCACUGUUGCAUUGUUUCUUUAACCACUAAAAUUAUUAAUUCAAAAUUAUUUUGAAUGAAAGAUAUAUCACAUAACAAUAACUCACAACAUACUUAUAUGAAGAAUUAAAAAUAUUCAUCAUAAAGUUGGUGAAUGAAACCAAAUGGUUUUGAAUUAAACACGUUAAAAAUAUAAAGAUGAUAAAUCGACUAAAUCCCAUAGCCUUCCAAGCUAACGUUGCGGGAUCGAUUCCGGUAUACUUGAUUUUAAUGACUUUAUGAUCAAUUAAUAAAAAUUGAUAAAUUCAAAAAAUUAGAAGCACGAUGAUAUAUGAAUCUUAUAUAUAAUUUAAAUAUGAACAUAGAAAUUUAAAUAAAUAAUUUUGAAGUAGUAUAAUUAAAUUCAAAAUAUCAAAAACAAAGAAGAAGCAUAUAUGGUUCUUACAUAUUCAAGAAUUUCAAAUAAACAAUAUAAAACUUUACUUAAAGUCUUCACAUAUUUCUAUUUAGAAAAUAAAUUUCUAUAAAUAAUGUAAAACUGUAAUUUAAAUCAUGACAAUCUCACAAUACUACAAUCAUAAUUGAAGACAAACAAAAAACACAGUUAAGUAAAAAAUAUUACAAAAAGGAAAAAAAAUUAAUCUCUCAUAUUUUAAUUGAAAAAAUCAACUCAAAUAAAUAAUAUGAGGACUAUUUUAAAUAAUUCUUCACAUAUUUCUAAUUGGAAAGGAAAUUGAGAUAAAUAAUAGAAAAUUGUAAAUUAAAUCAUGACACAUGAUAAAAAAUUUGACUGAUACUAUUAAUUACUAAUUUUGACUCAUAGGUUCAUGAUACUAUUAAUUACUAAUUUUGAGAAACCAAAAUAUAUCAUAUUAGUUAUAUAAUAACGUAUGUUUCCUUUUUAAUAAACUUGCCUGAUUUUUUUCUUGUUUAAUUAAAAUAUAUAUUUUUAAAUAUAAAUGAAAUUUUUGAUUUACACAUGUCAAAAUCUAAGAUCGAUAGAUUUGCCACGUGUCACGAUCCUAUGAGUUAUUAACUUUGAAAACCAUACUUUAUUUAUUUAUUUUUUUUUUUUUUAACUUUGAAAACCAUACUUUAUAUAAUAAGAUAGGGAAACUUAGUGGUCUGCGAGAGUGGUCGCAGGAUCUUCUCACUUUAAUUGAUUUUACUCUUAUCAAAGUUUAAAAUAAUUUAACCUAAUAACUAAUAAGAAACCUGUAUCUUUGAUUUAACCUACUCCUUUAAGUAGAGAUGUUAAUAUGGGCUAAUUCACCCUAUUUAAAUCGACCCCAUUUAAAACCCACCCCAUUUAGAUCCACCCUAUUUAACCUCAUUUAAGUUUAUACCCCAUUUAUCCUUCCCAUUUAAACACAUUUAAAUUUCCUUUACCCAUUUAAACCUAUUUAGACCCAUAUAACAUUGUUUUGUUCUAAAUAAUAUAAUAUAAUCAAUAAUUAUUUUAUUUGAUUAUUUAAAAUUUACAAAUUAUUUCAUUAAAUAUAAUUGAUAAAUAAUGAUAUAACUGUUUUUAUUAUUUUGUUGAAAAAAAUAUAGUUUACAAAAAACGAAAUUUGACGGAGCUUCGGAAUUUGGAGAUUGCCGAUAGCAGUUUAACCGGAGAGAUUCCGUCGGAGAUCUCGAAACUCACCAAUCUUUGGCAGUUAGAGCUUUACAACAACUCCUUGACCGGAAAACUUCCUACCGGAUUCGGAAACCUGAAGAAUCUGACUUACUUGGAUGCUUCAACAAAUCUUCUACAAGGCGAUUUAUCGGAGCUCAGGUCUCUGACUAAUCUCGUUUCACUACAAAUGUUCGAAAACGAAUUCUCCGGUGAGAUUCCGAUGGAGUUUGGCGAAUUCAAGGAUCUCGUGAAUCUCUCUCUGUAUACCAACAAGUUAACCGGUUCUCUGCCUCAAGGACUCGGUUCACUUGCCGAUUUUGAUUUCAUCGACGCAUCAGAGAAUCUCUUAACCGGACCUAUCCCUCCAGAUAUGUGCAAGAACGGGAAGAUGAAAGCUCUGCUUCUCCUGCAAAACAAUCUCACUGGCUCCAUCCCUGACUCGUACGCUAGCUGUUUGACUCUGGAACGGUUCAGAGUAAGCGAGAACUCGCUUAACGGAACUGUUCCCGCGGGACUUUGGGGCUUACCGAAGCUCGAGAUCAUCGAUAUAGAGAUGAAUAACUUCGAAGGUCCGAUCACUGCCGAUAUAAAGAACGGUAAAAUGCUCGGAGCAUUGUAUCUAGGGUUCAACAAGUUGUCUGAUGAGCUGCCGGAGGAGAUAGGUGACACUAAAUCUUUGACUAAGGUUGAGCUUAACAAUAACCGGUUUACCGGGAAGAUUCCGAGCUCCAUUGGGAAACUGAAGGGACUUAGCAGUCUGAAGAUGCAGAGCAAUGACUUCUCUGGUGAGAUACCGGACUCGAUUGGAUCAUGCUCGAUGCUCAGCGAUGUAAACAUGGCUCAAAACUCGCUAUCCGGUGAAAUCCCGCACACGCUUGGAUCUCUUCCGACGCUCAACGCUUUGAAUCUUUCAGACAAUAAGCUCACCGGGAGAAUCCCAGAGAGUUUGUCGUCUCUAAGGCUUAGCCUUCUUGAUCUGUCUAACAACAGAUUAUCCGGUCGUAUCCCUCUGAGUUUGUCAUCAUAUAAUGGUAGCUUCAAUGGCAAUCCUGGACUCUGUAGCAUGACGAUCAAAUCGUUUAACCGGUGCAUAAAUCCUUCGAGAUCGCAUGGAGACACUCGCGUAUUCGUGCUGUGUAUAGUUUUCGGGUCACUGAUCUUGCUUGCGUCUCUUGUGUUUUUCUUGUACCUGAAGAAAACAGAGAAGAAGGAAGGCCGUUCGCUUAAACACGAGUCUUGGAGUAUAAAGUCAUUCCGAAAGAUGAGUUUCACUGAAGAUGAUAUCAUCGAUUCAAUCAAAGAAGAGAAUUUGAUCGGUAGAGGAGGUUGUGGCGAUGUGUACAGAGUAGUACUUGGUGAUGGUAAAGAAGUUGCGGUCAAACACAUCCGGUGUAGUAGUACUCAGAAAAAUUUCAGCAGUGCAAUGCCGAUUCUCACUGAACGGGAAGGAAGAUCGAAGGAGUUUGAAACAGAGGUGCAAACGCUUAGCUCAAUACGACACUUAAAUGUGGUAAAACUCUAUUGUAGCAUCACGAGCGAUGACUCAAGCUUGCUGGUGUACGAGUACUUGCCUAAUGGAAGCUUAUGGGACAUGCUUCACUCUUGCAAGAAAUCGAAUCUCGGUUGGGAAACACGGUAUGAUAUAGCUCUUGGUGCAGCGAAAGGGCUUGAGUACUUGCAUCAUGGGUAUGAGAGACCGGUAAUUCACCGUGAUGUUAAAUCAAGCAACAUAUUGCUAGAUGAGUACUUGAAACCUAGGAUUGCGGAUUUUGGUCUUGCCAAGAUUCUUCAGGCCAGCAAUGGCGGUCCAGAUUCCACCCAUGUCGUUGCGGGAACCUAUGG